GAUGAACGCUGGCGGCGUGCUUAACACAUGCAAGUCGAACGAGAAGUGAAGACGGAAACCUUCGGGCGGAAGGCUUUAUUUCGAGUGGCGGACGGGUGAGUAACGCGUGGGUAACCUGCCUCAUACAGGUGGAUAACAUUUGGAAACGACUGUUAAUACCGCAUAAGACCACAGCACCGCAUGGUGCGGGGGUAAAAACUCCGGUGGUAUGAGAUGGACCCGCGUUCGAUUAGCCAGUUGGCGGGGUAACGGCCCACCAAAGCGACGAUCGAUAGCCGAUCUGAGAGGAUGACCGGACACAUUGGGACUGAGACACGGCCCAAACUCCUACGGGAGGCAGCAGUGGGGAAUAUUGCACAAUGGGGGAAACCCUGAUGCAGCGACGCCGCGUGAGUGAAGAAGUAUUUCGGUAUGUAAAGCUCUAUCAGCAGGGAAGAAAAUGACGGUACCUGAGUAAGAAGCCCCGGCUAACUACGUG
rnacentral:rRNA from 1 species